rnacentral:lncRNA from 1 species
UAACAACACACAACAUUCCAGGAAUGUACUACCAAAGUUCUAUCAAUAUUUGAAUGUCCUGGACAUUUAGGGAACAUUCGGUGAACAUCUGAUUAAAUUAUUCGUGGAAUGUUACCAUAAGACAUUCUGUGAACAUACUACCAAUGUUCCUUUUGUUAAUAUGUUCAUUUUCAAACUCACGGCGCAUGUAUUUGUGCAUGGUGCUUAGAGAGGGCAUCACGUGACUAAAAACGACCAAUGACCUCACUUCAGACUUCGGUGCUUCGGCCAUCUUGACAUGCAUCUUGGCCUUGGCCACCUUGCCGUGCGUGAUCGUUGUUUGUUUUUAUUUGUGCUUUUUAAGAAUAUUUUUUAAUUCGGAUACUUUUAUAAUAACUUUAAUAGUAUUAUUAAUAUAGUGCAUAAAAUCAGUUGGAGUAGCAGAAGCAAUGUAGAUAAAAAAUCUGCAGGAAUAAUGUUUCAAAGGUUAGUAUAUGCAAAUAUGUAAACAAAGGCAUGCCCCUAUUUCAGAAAAUAUCCAUUUAUUAUUUUAAUAAUUGCGAAUAAGCCACAAACUUGCUUAUUCCUAACAAAAAUAGUAAAUAGAGAUAAUAACAAACGGAUUAUUUGUAAAAUUAAAAUUUUUUUUGCGUUUUUGCUAAUGUAUGCGUUUAUAAACAGGAUGGUAGACCACACACUAUAAUAGUACCAACUAAUGAAUACACAGUAUGAAUAGUACAGUCGGUUCGCUAAACUUAGUCUCAGACACAACUGGCUAGUGAUUUUAGUAAAUAAUUUUGACAAUUUGGUAAAAUUGGCAAAAAAAUAACUAAAUAGUUAGUAAUUUUGGCAAAAAUGGCCAAAAACAAAAAAAUUACCUACUAAAAUCACUAGCCAGUUGUGGCUAGGGAAACGACUAUACUAAUAAACAAUUUCUAAGCUGCUUUUUAUAAUAUUUUGUGAGUUCAUUAAUCAUAUUUUUUAUUUAAAACUAAAAUUUGUUAAUAAUGCUCAGUAAUGCAUAUAUUUUGUAUUUUUAGCUUUCCAGAAGAUCCUGCGAAGAAGGCAUGAAGUAUUGAUCAGAUUUGUUAAUAGAGCAGUAUGUUCAAAACAUUUUUUAGAAAAAGAUAUUGACAGAACUUCACUUUCAACCGUGAACUUCACUUUCAACCGUUUGAGAGACUGUGCUGUUCCAAUAGCUUAUAUCACACAGAAUCAGCUGAGAGAAGUGGUCUACAAAAAACCAGGAAGGAAAUGGAAUAUGUGGCUAUGAAAGGCAAAAGAAAGGUUUACAAAGCAAAUGUGACACAUUUUUUUAUAGGAAUAUCAGUAAAUUACAUUAAAAAAAUGUAUGAAAAAAUUUUUUGCAAUAAAAAUGUUUAUAUUUA